AUUGCCUCUCAGCAUUCUGGCAAAGAUAAGUCUAGAAUCUAUGUGUAUCAGUUGAACAUGUGAUAAUCCUCUAGCCGUGGACACUAUAUUAAGUGGAUAUUGGAAGCAGGGAGACGGGACAGGAGCUCACCUACCCUCUCCACACAUCACCCUGGUAUUGCAGUACCUCCAGAAAUAGCACUCUUU
rnacentral:snRNA from 1 species